rnacentral:miRNA from 12 species
AGGCCGUGUCAGGUGCACUUUG